CCCUUAGAUGUUCUGGGCCGCACACGCGCUACACUGAAGGAGGCAGCGUGUACUCCUGGAUCGAAAGAUUUGGGUAACCCGCGAAUCUCCUUCGUGCUAGGGAUUGAGGUUUGCAAUUAUCCUUCAUGAACGAGGAAUUCCCAGUAAGUGCAAGUCAUAAGCUUGCGCUGACUACGUCCCUGCCCUUUGUACACACCGCCCGUCGCUCCUACCGAUUGAGUGAGCCGAUGAAACUGCCGGAUGUAGGCUAUUUAUAGCCCGCAGAAGAUAUUUGAAUCGUAGCGCUUAGAGGAAGGAGAANUCGUANCA
rnacentral:rRNA from 1 species